rnacentral:rRNA from 1 species
ACUCAAAUGAAUAGACGGGGGCCCGCACAAGCGGUGGAGCAUGUGGUUCAAUUCGACGCAACGCGAAGAACCUUACCCAGGCUCGAACGGCAACUGACAUCCUGCGAAAGCAGGCUCCCGCAAGGGUAGUUGUCGAGGUGCUGCAUGGCUGUCGUCAGCUCGUGUCGUGAGAUGUUGGGUUAAGUCCCGCAACGAGCGCAACCCUUGUCCGCUGUUGCCAUCAGGUGACGCUGGGCACUCUGCGGAGACUGCCGGUGAUAAACCGGAGGAAGGUGGGGAUGACGUCAAGUCAGCAUGGCCUUUAUGUCUGGGGCUACACACGUGCUACAAUGGCCGGCACAAACCGUCGCGAUCUCGCAAGAGGGAGCUAAUCGGAGAAAACCGGUCUCAGUUCGGAUUGCAGGCUGCAACUCGCCUGCAUGAAGUUGGAAUCGCUAGUAAUCGCGGAUCAGCACGCCGCGGUGAAUACGUUCCCGGGCCUUGCACACACCGCCCGU